rnacentral:lncRNA from 1 species
GCUAGCACGUGUGGAAACCCUAGCUCCUUGAGAAAUCAAGUUGGUCUCAUACCUUGCUAAUUUGCUAACCCAAUUUGGUAAGCAAUUAGGUCAAUUCGUGCCACCUAGAAGCAGUCUAAAAAGAGAUGUCACAUCUCAAGUUAACACCAAUUUACAAGAGUCCUCUUGGAUGAGGACUCUUGGCACAAAAAAGAGGACUCGUGCGCGUGUUGGCGUGAGU